rnacentral:rRNA from 1 species
AGAGUUUGAUCCUGGCUCAGAGCGAACGCUGGCGGCAUGCUUAACACAUGCAAGUCGCACGGUUCGGGGGCAACUCCGGGCAGUGGCGGACGGGUGAGUAACGCGUAGGAAUCUAUCCUUGGAUGGGGGGCAACCGUGGGAAACUACGGCUAAUACCGCAUGAUGCCUGAGGGCCAAAGCUCGUGAGAGCGUCUGGGGAGGAGCCUGCGUCUGAUUAGGUAGUUGGUGGGGUAAAGGCCUACCAAGCCUGCGAUCAGUAGCUGGUCUGAGAGGAUGAUCAGCCACAUUGGGACUGAGACACGGCCCAAACUCCUACGGGAGGCAGCAGUGGGGAAUAUUGGACAAUGGGCGCAAGCCUGAUCCAGCAAUGCCGCGUGGGUGAAGAAGGUUUUCGGAUUGUAAAGCCCUUUUGGCGGGGACGAUGAUGACGGUACCCGCAGAAUAAGCUCCGGCUAACUUCGUGCCAGCAGCCGCGGUAAUACGAAGGGGGCUAGCGUUGCUCGGAAUGACUGGGCGUAAAGGGCGCGUAGGCGGCUUGCACAGUCAGGCGUGAAAUUCCUGGGCUCAACCUGGGGACUGCGUCUGAUACGUGCAGGCUUGAGUGUGAAAGAGGGUCGUGGAAUUUCCAGUGUAGAGGUGAAAUUCGUA